rnacentral:rRNA from 1 species
UGGUUAAGCUGAUAAGAGCACAGGGCGGAUGCCUUGGCACUAAGAGCCGAUGAAAGACGUGAUAAGCUGCGAUAAGCUUCGGGGAGAGGCAAAUACUCAUUGAUCCGGAGAUUUCUGAAUGGGGAAACCCGCCUGGGAAACCCUCAGGCAUCCAUACGCCAAUUCAUAACGUAUGGAAGGGAACCCGCUGAACUGAAACAUCUAAGUAGGCGGAGGAAGAGAAAGAAACAUCGAUUCCGUAAGUAGCGGCGAGCGAACGCGGAAGAGCCCAAACCGGGAUGCGUGCAUCCCGGGGUUAAGGACUGCAUAAGCGAGCUGGUUCGUUAAUGGAACGGCCCUGGGAAGGCCGGCCGGAGAGGGUGAAAGCCCCGUACAUGAAAACGACAGGCAGCGGCAGGAUCCAGAGUACCACGAGACACGUGGAACCUUGUGGGAAUUCGGGGGGACCACCCCCCAAGGCUAAAUACUCCUUAGUGACCGAUAGCGCAUAGUACUGUGAAGGAAAGGUGAAAAGAACCCCGGGAGGGGAGUGAAAAAGAACCUGAAACCCUGUGUUUACAAGCUGUGGGAGCGCGUUAAGGCGCAACCGCGUACUUUUUGUAGAACGGUCCGGCGAGCUGCGGAUGCUGGCAAGGUUAAGGGCUUAUUAGGCCCGGAGCCGAAGCGAAAGCAAGCCUUAAGAGGGCGCUCAGUCAGCAUGUGCAGACCCGAAACCGGGUGACCUAUCCAUGUCCAGGUUGAAGUUCCCGUAAAAGGGAAUGGAGGACCGAACGCACAUCCGUUGAAAAGGGUGGCGAUGAGGUGUGGAUAGCGGAGAAAUUCCAAUCGAACCCGGAGAUAGCUGGUUCUCCUCGAAAUAGCUUUAGGGCUAGCCCCGCGUUAGUUUCACGGAGGUAGAGCACUGAAUUUCCUAGGGGGCGUCAAAGCCUACCGAAGAAUAUCAAACUCCGAAUGCCGUAGAAAUGAUGCGCGGGAGUCAGACCGCACGAGAUAAGUUGGGCGGUCAAAAGGGAAAGAGCCCAGACCCGCGGCUAAGGCCCCCAAGUGUGUGUUAAGUGGAAAAGGAUGUGGGAUUUCAAAGACAGCUAGGAUGUUGGCUCAGAAGCAGCCACACAUUCAAAGAGUGCGUAAUAGCUCACUAGCCGAGAGGUCCUGCGCCGAAAAUGUCCGGGGCUGAAACACACCGCCGAAGCCUGGGAAUGCAGAAAUGCAUUGGUAGAGGAGCAUUCUUAAAGGAGCGAAGCGUUACCGCAAGGAGGCGUGGACUUUUAAGAAGAGAGAAUGCCGGAAUGAGUAGCGAGAUGGAGGUGGGAAUCCUCCAGGCCGAAUAUCCAAGGUUUCCAGAGUAAAGCUGAUCUGCUCUGGGUAAGUCGGGGCCUAAGGCGAGGUCGAAAGACGUAGCCGAUGGACAACAGGUUGAAAUUCCUGUACUGCAUACAGUCAGAACUGUGGGGACACAGAACGAUAACCGGACCCGGGGACGAAAUACCCGGGGCAAGCGAAGAAGGAGCCGGACUGGAAAAACCGUCCGGCAAUCCAAAGUCGUGACGCGGACCGAAGAAAAGUAGGGAAGCCGGCGAUUCGGGCUGUCAAGAAAAGCCGCUAUCGCGCUGUAUGCACCCGUACCGUAAACCGACACAGGUGGAUGAGGAGAGAAUCCUAAGGCCGGCGGGAGAAGCAUUGUUAAGGAACUCGGCAAAAUGGCCCUGUAACUUCGGGAGAAAGGGCGCCACUGAGAAGUGGCCGCAGAGAACAGGCUCAAGCAACUGUUUAGCAAAAACACAGGUCUAUGCAAAACCGAAAGGUGAGGUAUAUGGGCUGACGCCUGCCCGGUGCUGGAAGGUUACGAGGAGAGGUUAGUCUUCGGGCGAAGCUUUGAAUUUAAGCCCCAGUAAACGGCGGCCGUAACUAUAACGGUCCUAAGGUAGCGAAAUUCCUUGUCGGGUAAGUUCCGACCCGCACGAAAGGCGUAAUGAUUUGAGCGCUGUCUCAACAAUGCCCCCGGUGAAAUUGAAAUACCAGUGAAGAUGCUGGUUACCUGCGCCAGGACGGAAAGACCCCAUGGAGCUUUACUCCAGCUUGGUACUGGGAUCCGGUGCUGCAUGUACAGGAUAGGUGGGAGACAAAGAAGGCAGGACGCCAGUCUUGCCGGAGUCAAUGUUGGGAUACCACCCUUGUGGCAUUGGGUUUCUAACCAUCCGCCGUGAGCCGGCGGUGGGACAAUGCCAGGCGGGGAGUUUGACUGGGGCGGUCGCCUCCGAAAGGGUAUCGGAGGCGCUCAAAGGUUCCUUCAGGAUGGUUGGAAACCAUCCGAAGAGUGCAAAGGCAGAAGGGAGCCUGACUGCGAGAGCGACGGCUCGGGCAGGUACGAAAGUAGGACUUAGUGAUCCGGUGGUAUGAAAGUGGGAUUGCCAUCGCUCAACGGAUAAAAGCUACCCUGGGGAUAACAGGCUUAUCACUCCCAAGAGUUCACAUCGACGGAGUGGUUUGGCACCUCGAUGUCGGCUCAUCGCAUCCUGGGGCUGUAGCAGGUCCCAAGGGUUGGGCUGUUCGCCCAUUAAAGCGGUACGCGAGCUGGGUUCAGAACGUCGUGAGACAGUUCGGUCCCUAUCCGGCGCGGGCGUAGGAUAUUUGAGAGGAGCUGUCCUUAGUACGAGAGGACCGGGAUGGACCGGCCGCUGGUGUAUCUGUUAGGCCAUCAGGCCUAUGGCAGAGUAGCCAAGCCGGGAGGGGAUAAACGCUGAAGGCAUCUAAGCGUGAAGCCCCCCUCAAGAUGAGAUAUCCCAUCGCAAGAGUAAGACCCCUUGAAGACGACGAGGUAGAUAGGGCAGAGGUGGAAGUGCAGUAAUGUAUGGAGCUGACUGUCACUAAUCGGUCGAGGGCUUAACCAG